rnacentral:lncRNA from 1 species
GAGAGAGUCCAGGGAAGGGUAAAUCAAGAAACCAGAAGAUCUGAGGAGGCAGAUUGGGAUCUGGCAGGAGAGGGUUCUGCUGCAUGUUUUGGUCAUGACUUAGGGAAGGCACAGUCACCGAGUGAUGGAUCUGCACCAAGACUUGCCUCGGUCUUUUCUGCAUAAGAACGUGCGGAAGAAUGAUGGUUGGUGCAAGGGGAAGCCAUGGAAAGCCAUGAGUGCCUGUUCAGAAAUCCAGUGGGAAAGAUGAUUCAUGCCAUGUAGUGACACAAGGGCACAAGUGCUGCACUUCAGUCGCUCCACUGAAUUCUAUGGGAUUUUCUGUCUGCUGGAUCACUGCUCAUGUCAGGAAGACAGCGAUAGAGAAGAUGACUCUUACUAAAGCUUCAGGUAGAUGCUGUGCAUCAGACUGGUGAGCAAGAUUAAAUCUCUGAAGGCUCUGGCUGUCUCAAUCUCCAUUGAAGUUGCUGGGAUCUGAAGACACAACUUUCUUAUUACGGUGCUGUUUGCUAUAAGUGUUAAUAUGGUCAAAGGAAGACUACCCACCAAAGACUGUAAGGAACAGUAGCAAAACCUUUUUAUUUUUUACAAACGCUAAUGCUACUUGGGGACCAUUUCAUUCCCCAAGUGUACAUCUGUUUGAGCAAAGGAUUCCCAGAAACAAGCAACAAGAAUAUUGAGACCAUUGCUCAAUAACCACAGCUUUUAUUUGGCAAUAGUUAUUGAGACCUGCAAGGGUUUUCCUGGGCUCAAAACUUGUCUGUUUCUUGUAGCAAUGUUUUCUGUUGGGUCAUAUGGAUUAUUUCAUGUUAUUAGAGCUGAAUACUAGUUGUCUACCAUUUCAGAUUUGCUAGCUUUUUAUCUUGUAGCAAUGUAUUUGUAUGCUGUAAUCUAUAGCAAAAUGCCAUUGUAAUUUUAAUGUCAGGUGUACCCACUGUGAGUCUCAGGUUUGUAUCGCUAUCCAGGGAAUGUGUCUGAGCUCUUUCCUUUUUAAGCCUAGUUGAAGCAGUGCAUCCAGAUGCAUUACUUUCAAAUCUUAUUCUCAAAUGUUUUAGUGGAAAUGAUGUGUGAUCAUUUUAAUCUGGCCUUUAUGUGUUUGACCGGAACUCAGCCUACAUAUUGCCGUGAGACAAGGGAAAUUGGAUGCUUUUACUUUUACAGCCAAAGUAUUCAUAUCCUUCCAGAAAAAAAGAACUAAUCUUCUGAAGCAGCAGGUAAGUAAAAGAUUUGUGGAGAAAUGGGAAAGGACAUUUAAUAUAUUUAAUCUUAUUAUACAUUUUUCUACAUUAAAAGUCAACAGGCUGCAAAUAUAUUUUGCUACAAAGCUUUUUGUAGGAAAUAUCUCUAUAAGAAAAUACAUCUCAUUAAACAUUUCCUGUAAAUAAAUUAUCCCACAUAACUAUGUUUUGUAAGAGGAGAAGGGAGAGGGUUAGGCUAGUGAUAAGAAGAGCCAAAAAUUGCUGAGCCCAUUUCUGCAACCCCACUGCUCCAUUUGGGUUACAUUUUCUUGUACACAUAGUUGAAAUGAAGGCAACAGAGCUCCUCUGUUGAGCAUGUGCUGUCAGUGUAAAUAACACAGACAGUGUUAUUUAAAAGUACAGUUCCUGUACUUUUUUAAUAUCUUGAAAUUAUGCUAUUUCUGAACCUUAUUCCUGUUUUAGGUACACAAGAACUCCUUUGAAAUAACCAAAGUGGAGCUGGUAGGACUGAGUUUGAAGUCUGACUCAGACUGUUAAAAAACAGAAGAGCCCACCCCAGAGCAGUUCCUUAUGGCAAUUAAAAAAUAACUCCAGUAAGCAGGCACAGCCAUUGUGGAAAGCCACUGUAGCCCUUAUACUGGCCCCUGAAACAUCAUGGGACAACACAGCAAGGUUUCAAGAUACUCAGGCCUCUCAUUCAUAGACAAGAGUUUAAAAUUCUACAAUGAAGAGAAACAGAGCCAGAAGACUCCUCUCAGUCAUGGAAAACACACUCUGCAACAGGAAAGAGAAUAGAGGAAAUUAAAUUACUUUGCUCUGCCAAGCCUACAUAAGAAGUCCACAUUACAGAGAUGCACCAAAUACAAGUGACUCUGCACCUUUGACAACACAAGUACAAACGAGGGCAACCACACUGACCAGUCAAAUGAAGAAGAGGGAAGAGGGGGGAGAAAGAGGAAGAUGAUUUAAUAGGGACCACCAGAUGGGGAUGUGACCACCCAGAGGAGAAUACAACGCAUGCGCCGGAGGGGAGGGACUUGAUUAAUGAAUAUGUAGUGGGGUUCAACGUAACCUGUUGAAUAUGUAUGAACUUGACUUACAAAUAUGUAGCAUUUCUGUAGACCGAUAUGCAAGUUAGGUGGAGCUAUCCCCCUUGCAUCCAGUUCUGCGCAGCGUUGAUUAAAACACACCUGAUUUUAUAACUACUUUGUGGUUAUAGAGUUUGAUUCUGCAAGUCAGUAAUGCUAGAUGGCUUUUCUCAGUCACAAGAAAGGUAUUUUUCUAUGUCAAGCAAUUCCCUUUCACUUUCCUGCUCUUCAAGUUCUCCAGGAGACAGGGCUGUACAGAAUGCAUUGCAUACGGUACAAGUGGGAUGACACAUCUCCAUGGCAAGGUGCCCUUUGAACCACGCUCUGGAAGUAUGAUCUGAAGAGCCCUCAGGCUCAAGGAUUUCUCUUCUCUUGCACUAAGCCAGCACUCACAUCGGUGCUGGCUGCACACCUCUGAGGAAAGAGCUGCAAAACCCACUAGGCAGCUCUCUGUAUUUGCAAGAUUCUUAAUUCAUCCCAGUGUUUACAAGUUCUGUGAAAAACAAAACAACAACAAAGAAGAUCCUACCAAAACUCAGAAAUUGCAACCUUUCAUGUAGACCACUCAGUUCUGAAACAGUAACAAUUCCCAUAGACUUUAGAUAUUUUCCCAGGAAGGAAAACAAGCCUGUAGUUCCAACAUAGCAAAGCAUCACUGUUAAAAAGUUAGAACAUCUUCUAAAUCAAUUGCUGCUGCAACAUAGCGUUUUGAAUACUGUCCAGAUGAGUAUGAGUAGAAAGGUCUCUUCCUAGAAAUACCAAAAUAGUAUUUUCAUUGCUAUUUGUAGUAACAGUGGCAACAAAUUUAUCAGCUUCUACUGCAUCCUGCUUUACAGGUGCUAAUUCUCCUUUGGAGUGCAGAUGCAUAAGCUAACAAAGGCAGGAAUAACUCCCUUUGUCCCAGGGGAAGGGAUGGCUGCUGCAGAAUCCCAUUUCCCGCAGUGGGAAGCUGCUGCUCUGAACUCUCCUGUAA